rnacentral:rRNA from 1 species
AUUGAACGCUGGCGGCAGGCCUAACACAUGCAAGUCGAGCGGAGCGGCGGACGGGUGCGUAAUGCCUAGGAAUCUGCCUGGUCGUGGGGGAGAAGGUCCGGAAACGGGCGCUAAUACCGCUUACUCUCACCUGAGCCUAGGUCGGAUUAGCUAGUUGGUGGGGUAAAGGCCUACCAAGGCGACGACCCGUAACUGGUCUGAGAGGAUGAUCAGUCACACUGGAACUGAGACACGGUCCAGACUCCUACGGGAGGCAGCAGUGGGGAAUAUUGCACAAUGGGCGAAAGCCUGAUGCAGCCAUGCCGCGUGGGUGAAGAAGGCCUUCGGAUUGUAAAGCACUUUCAGCGGGGAGGCGUUACCCACAGAAGAAGCACCGGCUAACUUCGUGCCAGCAGCCGCGGUAAUUC